rnacentral:rRNA from 1 species
UACGGGGGGGGCAAGCGUUGUUCGGAAUUACUGGGCGUAAAGGGCUCGUAGGUGGCCAACUAAGUCAGACGUGAAAUCCCUCGGCUUAACCGGGGAACUGCGUCUGAUACUGGAUGGCUUGAGUUCGGGAGAGGGAUGCGGAAUUCCAGGUGUAGCGGUGAAAUGCGUAGAUAUCGUAAGGAAGACCGGUGGCGAAGGCUAGUCUCUGGACAGUUACUGACACUGAGGCACGAAGGCCAGGGGAGCAAACGGG